rnacentral:lncRNA from 1 species
GGCGCAAAAGGAAGAAAGGGUGGGCAGCAUAAAUCAAGAGUCCUAGGAUAGUUGGACUCUUAUCUCUUUACUUAAAAUCUUUGUCAACUCCUAUUUAAAUAUGGGAUCAUAUGAGGCGGUAAUAAGGGGCUGAUUGAGAUUAGUUUUGAGAUGCCAAAAAUCAGAGGAGGCAUGUGUGAAAAUUCCAAGGAGAGAAGGUGCGGCAUG